CGGAGAAGAGGAAGAGCCGGAGGCCCGAGUCCAUGGAAGAAGGGUGAGGGAGAUGAUAGAAAAUGAUGAGGCUGACAACUAUUCCGCCGGGACAACCAGGUGGACCAGAAGUGAAGCAGAGGAGGAAGAAUACCGCCUGGAAAAGAAGCCCAGGCCGGAAGAUGAGGACGUGGACCAAAAGCUGCAGAAGUUGAGAGAGCAGCUCUUGGCCGAGCUAGGAAAGAAGGAUCAAAGCCAAACCUUCCUACCCACUUCUUCACCUUUCUCAAAAUGGGUGCAGCAGGAGACUGUCC
rnacentral:lncRNA from 1 species